GGGCUGAACCUUCUCUUUCACUCUUCUUAGUUUUAUAAACACAAUUGCCAUUUUGUUCCUCACCCAAAAAUCAAUCAAGAAAACUGAUUAUCAUUCCCCUCUUGUUCCUCCAUUGUUGAACCACCACCAACAACUACCUUAAUCACCGUUAACCGCCACCUACUGCCACCAUUAUCUGCCUCACCUACCACCCAGCACCACCACCGCAACACCUUCCACACUCCUCCCCUCCCCGCACGCACUCCACCACCGUCCCCUGCUUCCCCUCUCCCUCUUUUCUCUUCGCAGCACCACCCCCAACACCCACCACCAACUCCAGACACCUUCGUCACCUUGCCAAUCGACCACCGCCACAAAACAACCCGGCGAGCCACCCUGCUUCCGCCCAGAACCGCCCUCAACUCCCCUGUUUUGUUCGGCCAAUUCGUGCCCUUUCUCUCUCUCCCUCGACGUUCCGCCACCACCAACCACCUAUCGCCACCGCCUCACUCACCAGCCCAGCCUCCGACACCGAGCCGCCCAAACCCGAGCCCAUCCGCCUUCCUUUUUCCCUUCUCCCCUGCUUCCUUCGAGCCCCCCCUCCCCUGCUUCACUUCCCCUGCUCUUCGUACCCAACUUCAAAAAAAAAAAAAGGGGGGACGAGUUCCAGUAAUUUGGAACUUUGUUUUUAUUUCUGAAAUUAAGCCCAACCCCUUUGUUCUGGCCCAAUAUCCCAAAAAAUCGGACUCGGAGCUCAGGACGAACGACCAAGGAAAAAGGCCUGUCAAAUCGUGGAAUUGAGGUACUGCUGGGGACCACGGAAACGAGUAGUGGCGAGGAUUUCACUAUUACCAAGUUCACCUAAGUUAAUGUUAAGUUGUAACAAGUUUCAGUAAAGAUUUGAGAUUAAGUUAUGUACUUUGAUUAAGGAUUUGAGAAGGAUGAUUAUGUGAAUUUUGGAGUUUAAUAGCUUAUGAUUGAUAGUUGCCUUGUAAUUCCCAAGAGGGAGUUACGGCGGGUAAUGUCCCGACCGAAUUAGGUUAAUUCCGCUGCUAAUAAUGAUUAAAUAAUUGAAUUAGA